ACACUCCUGCGGGAGGCAGCAGUGGGGAAUAUUGGACAAUGGGCGCAAGCCUGAUCCAGCCAUGCCGCGUGAGUGAUGAAGGCUCUAGGGUUGAAAAGCUCUUUCACCGGUGAAGAUAAUGACGGUAACCGGAGAAGAAGCCCCGGCUAACUUCGUGCCAGCAGCCGCGGUAAUACGAAGGGGGCUAGCGUUGUUCGGAUUUACUGGGCGUAAAGCGCACGUAGGCGGACUAUUAAGUCAGGGGUGAAAUCCCGGGGCUCAACCCCGGAACUGCCUUUGAUACUGGUAGUCUUGAGUUCGAGAGAGGUGAGUGGAAUUCCGAGUGUAGAGGUGAAAUUCGUAGAUAUUCGGAGGAACACCAGUGGCGAAGGCGGCUCACUGGCUCGAUACUGACGCUGAGGUGCGAAAGCGUGGGGAGCAAACAGGAUUAGAUACCCCAGUAGUCCCAUG
rnacentral:rRNA from 1 species